rnacentral:rRNA from 1 species
UACGGGGGGGCAAGCGUUGUUCGGAAUUACUGGGCGUAAAGGCUCGUAGGCGGCCAACUAAGUCAGACGUGAAAUCCCUAGGCUCAACCUAGGAACUGCGUCUGAUACUGGAUGGCUUGAAUCCGGGAGAGGGAUGCAGAAUUCCAGGUGUAGCGGUGAAAUGCGUAGAUAUCUGGAGGAAUACCGGUGGCGAAGGCGGCAUCCUGGACCGGCAUUGACGCUGAGGAGCGAAAGCUAGGGGAGCAAACGGG